rnacentral:rRNA from 1 species
GAUGAACGCUGGCGGCGUGCCUAAUACAUGCAAGUCGAGCGAACGGACGAGAAGCUUGCUUCUCUGAUGUUAGCGGCGGACGGGUGAGUAACACGUGGAUAACCUACCUAUAAGACUGGGAUAACUUCGGGAAACCGGAGCUAAUACCGGAUAAUAUUUUGAACCGCAUGGUUCAAAAGUGAAAGACGGUCUUGCUGUCACUUAUAGAUGGAUCCGCGCUGCAUUAGCUAGUUGGUAAGGUAACGGCUUACCAAGGCAACGAUGCAUAGCCGACCUGAGAGGGUGAUCGGCCACACUGGAACUGAGACACGGUCCAGACUCCUACGGGAGGCAGCAGUAGGGAAUCUUCCGCAAUGGGCGAAAGCCUGACGGAGCAACGCCGCGUGAGUGAUGAAGGUCUUCGGAUCGUAAAACUCUGUUAUUAGGGAAGAACAUAUGUGUAAGUAACUGUGCACAUCUUGACGGUACCUAAUCAGAAAGCCACGGCUAACUACGUGCCAGCAGCCGCGGUAAUACGUAGGUGGCAAGCGUUAUCCGGAAUUAUUGGGCGUAAAGCGCGCGUAGGCGGUUUUUUAAGUCUGAUGUGAAAGCCCACGGCUCAACCGUGGAGGGUCAUUGGAAACUGGAAAACUUGAGUGCAGAAGAGGAAAGUGGAAUUCCAUGUGUAGCGGUGAAAUGCGCAGAGAUAUGGAGGAACACCAGUGGCGAAGGCGACUUUCUGGUCUGUAACUGACGCUGAUGUGCGAAAGCGUGGGGAUCAAACAGGAUUAGAUACCCUGGUAGUCCACGCCGUAAACGAUGAGUGCUAAGUGUUAGGGGGUUUCCGCCCCUUAGUGCUGCAGCUAACGCAUUAAGCACUCCGCCUGGGGAGUACGACCGCAAGGUUGAAACUCAAAGGAAUUGACGGGGACCCGCACAAGCGGUGGAGCAUGUGGUUUAAUUCGAAGCAACGCGAAGAACCUUACCAAAUCUUGACAUCCUUUGACAACUCUAGAGAUAGAGCCUUCCCCUUCGGGGGACAAAGUGACAGGUGGUGCAUGGUUGUCGUCAGCUCGUGUCGUGAGAUGUUGGGUUAAGUCCCGCAACGAGCGCAACCCUUAAGCUUAGUUGCCAUCAUUAAGUUGGGCACUCUAAGUUGACUGCCGGUGGCAAACCGGAGGAAGGUGGGGAUGACGUCAAAUCAUCAUGCCCCUUAUGAUUUGGGCUACACACGUGCUACAAUGGACAAUACAAAGGGCAGCGAAACCGCGAGGUCAAGCAAAUCCCAUAAAGUUGUUCUCAAUUCGGAUUGUAGUCUGCAACUCGACUACAUGAAGCUGGAAUCGCUAGUAAUCGUAGAUCAGCAUGCUACGGUGAAUACGUUCCCGGGUCU